AUUGAACGCUGGCGGCAUGCCUUACACAUGCAAGUCGAACGGUAACGGGCCUUCGGGUGCCGACGCGCGGCGAACGGGCGAGUAAUACAUCGGAACGUGCCCGACCGUGGGGGAUAACGUGGCGAAAGCUUUGCUAAUACCGCAUACGAUCUACGGAUGAAAGCAGGGGACCGCAAGGCCUAGCGCGGACGGAUCGGCCGAUGGCAGAUUAGGUAGUUGGUGGGAUAAACGCUUACCAAGUCGACGAUCUGUAGCUGGUCUGAGAGGAUGAUCAGCCACACUGGGACUGAGACACGGCCCAGACUCCUACGGGAGGCAGCAGUGGGGAAUGUUGGACAAUGGGCGCAAGCCUGAUACAGCCAUGCCGCGUGCAGGAUGAAGGCCUUCGGGUUGUAAACUGCUUUUGUACGGAACGAAAAGCCUUCUUUUAAUACAGGAGGGUCAUGACGGUACCGUAAGAAGAAGCACCGGCUAACUACGUG
rnacentral:rRNA from 1 species